AGGCGGCAGUCUACACAUGCAAGUCGAGCGGUAGCACAGAGAGCUUGCUCUCGGGUGACGAGCGGCGGACGGGUGAGUAAUGUCUGGGAAACUGCCUGAUGGAGGGGGAUAACUACUGGAAACGGUAGCUAAUACCGCAUAACGUCGCAAGACCAAAGUGGGGGACCUUCGGGCCUCAUGCCAUCAGAUGUGCCCAGAUGGGAUUAGCUGGUAGGUGGGGUAACGGCUCACCUAGGCGACGAUCCCUAGCUGGUCUGAGAGGAUGACCAGCCACACUGGAACUGAGACACGGUCCAGACUCCUACGGGAGGCAGCAGUGGGGAAUAUUGCACAAUGGGCGCAAGCCUGAUGCAGCCAUGCCGCGUGUGUGAAGAAGGCCUUCGGGUUGUAAAGCACUUUCAGCGGGGAGGAAGGCGGUGAGGUUAAUAACCUUAUCGAUUGACGUUACCCGCAGAAGAAGCACCGGCUAACUCCGUGCCAGCAGCCGCGGUAAUACGGAGGGUGCAAGCGUUAAUCGGAAUUACUGGGCGUAAAGCGCACGCAGGCGGUCUGUCAAGUCGGAUGUGAAAUCCCCGGGCUCAACCUGGGAACUGCAUUCGAAACUGGCAGGCUAGAGUCUUGUAGAGGGGGGUAGAAUUCCAGGUGUAGCGGUGAAAUGCGUAGAGAUCUGGAGGAAUACCGGUGGCGAAGGCGGCCCCCUGGACAAAGACUGACGCUCAGGUGCGAAAGCGUGGGGAGCAAACAGGAUUAGAUACCCUGGUAGUCCACGCUGUAAACGAUGUCGAUUUGGAGGUUGUGCCCUUGAGGCGUGGCUUCCGGAGCUAACGCGUUAAAUCGACCGCCUGGGGAGUACGGCCGCAAGGUUAAAACUCAAAUGAAUUGACGGGGGCCCGCACAAGCGGUGGAGCAUGUGGUUUAAUUCGAUGCAACGCGAAGAACCUUACCUGGUCUUGACAUCCACAGAACUUUCCAGAGAUGGAUUGGUGCCUUCGGGACCUGUGAGACAGGUGCUGCAUGGCUGUCGUCAGCUCGUGUUGUGAAAUGUUGGGUUAAGUCCCGCAACGAGCGCAACCCUUAUCCUUUGUUGCCAGCGGUUAGGCCGGGAACUCAAAGGAGACUGCCAGUGAUAAACUGGAGGAAGGUGGGGAUGACGUCAAGUCAUCAUGGCCCUUACGACCAGGGCUACACACGUGCUACAAUGGCAUAUACAAAGAGAAGCGACCUCGCGAGAGCAAGCGGACCUCAUAAAGUAUGUCGUAGUCCGGAUUGGAGUCUGCAACUCGACUCCAUGAAGUCGGAAUCGCUAGUAAUCGUAGAUCAGAAUGCUACGGUGAAUACGUUCCCGGGCCUUGUACACACCGCCCGUCACACCAUGGGAGUGGGUUGCAAAAGAAGUAGGUAGCUUAACCUUCGGGAGGGCGCUUACCACUUUUGAUUACCGGG
rnacentral:rRNA from 1 species